UGGUAGCUAGCGAGGGCUUUGAGACGGCCGAGAGUUUGAGCGCCAAGGCUCUCUCUCCCCAGGGGACUCUGCAACCUGACUAGGUGCUCCUUCCCUGCGCAUAGUAACAUUCCAGGGAGCUGCCCGGGGAAGCUUAACGCUCGAUGCGGGUGGUAGGAAUGUAUCAUGGUGGGAGAGUCAUGGCAGCAGAAAGCUGGAACAGGACACUAAGUAAGAACACCUUCAACUACAAGCAGAAGUCAAGGAGAACUGAAAGUGACAACUGGAACCUUGAGAGCCAAGGGAGAUUGUGGAGAGGAUGUGAGCAGAUGGCCGCUGAGGAUAGCUGACUGGGUGGGUGGGCUGGAACCUAGGCCAGGACCUGCCACCUGAGGAUUGUGCCUGCGAUGUCCAUAUGAUUGUGAACAGCUAAACAGGGAGCUCUGCUCUGUUGAAAAUCAUAAAGUUGAAAAUGAAAAGAGAUAAAGCCUUAAGCACAGAAGAAUAUUUUGUCUUUGGUGAAAAGAACAACUUAAGAUUAAUUUUAUUUUUAUGCUGUAUAUGCGUGUGGGUAUGUGCAUGCAAAUUUGGGUGACUCCAAAGGUCAGAGCAUCAAAUCACCUGGAGCUGGGAUUAUAGGCAAAUGAAAGCUGCCAAGCAUAGGAAUCUAACGAAUGUCCUCUGUAUGAGCAGAGAGUACUCCUAACUGCAGAGCCAUGUUUCCAGCUUAAGGAGGGCUUUUAGAAAGAAGAUUGAUAGAGAAUACAAACUUAAUAGUUUGAUGUACUAAAAAGGUUAAUUUUUAUUCACUAUAGACACUAGAAAUAAUACUUACAAUGUAUAUAAUGCAUGUGAUUAUAGAACUAGAAGUAACAAUAUUAAAUAUAAAUAAAUUACUGUAAGUCAGAUAAGAGAGAUGGAAACCCCAGUAGGAAAAACCCAUUAAAGUAACUAAAAUGUGG
ensembl:processed_transcript Eldr Egfr long non-coding downstream RNA